UACGUAGGGGGCAAGCGUUGUCCGGAUUUAUUGGGCGUAAAGAGCUCGUAGGUGGUUCGGUAAGUCGGAUGUGAAAUCUCCAGGCUCAACCUGGAGGGGUCAUUCGAUACUGCCGUGACUAGAGUUCGGGAGAGGAUGGUGGAAUUCCCAGUGUAGAGGUGAAAUUCGUAGAUAUUGGGAAGAACACCGAUGGCGAAGGCAGCCAUCUGGACCGACACUGACGCUGAGGCGCGAAAGCGUGGGGAGCAAACAGG
rnacentral:rRNA from 1 species